CAUCAUCAUUUGGGAUUUAUCUGUACAUUGAAGGCAGAGGCCUGAAUUCUAUGUGUCUCUCUUAUUCUUGCAUUUCUACCCUUAUAUUGUAGAGCACCAAAUUAGGCAUUCAGUUGGUGUCUGCUAAAGCAUUGAUUCCUGACUUUGUUGAAGCUUUGAGGCUCAAUGUUCUGAUCUCCAAAGUUGGGAGUGUUUGUUACCUGUCCUCAAGGAUAGUUUGAAAGGUAACUGAGCUCUGGGUGUGUGUCUAUGUAGUGCCUGAAAUAGAUGCCAUGCAACCUGAGCAGUGUCAGGUUUAUGUUAGGCAAUGCUAAUUCAUCGGUGGGGUUUUAAAAUUUAUACUUGUGACAGACAUCGGUGCUUUGUAUCAUGUGAAGCACUGUCACACAGCAGAUCAAAUUUGGUUUCCUUCCGGCUUCUCUGGGCCUCCCUGCUUUACUGCCACUUCUUCCUGUGGUCCAUUCCAACAACAAUCUCAGUCAUUCUGAUCCUUGCUUUCUUAGUCAGCUUCUCUUAAAUCUCUUUACUCCAAAAUUAUUUCCAACCUCCCUCCUCAAGGUCCACUCUGAGCUGGCAUCGUAUGUGUUGCUGUUCUGUUUCAGGGAUUUGGGUUGAAAACGUAAGGAUAUAACCUCAUGGGUGUUUAUGGAUUGCCCUGUAUGUUGGGGGUAAGAGCCAGCUUAAUCAAAGAAUCAGCUUAGUCCAUCAGGUUCCUGUCUCUGAAAUGUGAGAUGUUAUUUUUCUACACCUAUCUUCACUACACCAAAAGAAGAAACAAAAUGGAACAAAACAUUCUCUGGGGUCAGUCAAGUGCGCUGCUAACCAAACAACAGAAGUGGGAGAGGCCGACACAGAAGCCUGGGGCCCAACUUUCAAAAGCCAGCUCAGGAAACAUUGGAAGCUGAGAGUGGCCCUCCUAAACAGCAUGUGCACUGUUCUGACAUCUGAUCAGAAUUCUUUCUGUAGUCGAUGGAUUUAUGAAGUCCUCUUCAAUAUACAUAAGAUGCUUGAAACUUUAAGGAUUAUGCUGCCAUUUGAUUUCAACACACAUGUGAGUGUAAGUAUACUGACAUAUGUGACUGAGACUGUUUGCAGAAAAAGGGAAGAAAGUAUUUAAAAUACUUAAGAUAGCAGCCUGACCAUGUUGCAAAAGAGGAGCUUUGAGGUCUGCCUAGCUUGAUUGUGAAAUCAUUAGUCAUUUUCUAUUGGCUUUGUUAGGUGACGUAUUAGAGAAAUAAUAAAUGUCAACCAAAAUGCUUAUGCUUUUCAUUUUAGGUCAGCGCAUUUAAUUAAUAAUUUACUUUGACAUUUUAUCAGAUACAACACUUGAACCUACAAAGCAACUGAGUUAAUAGGUAAUAACUUCUUAGGGUUUUUUUCCCCCCCUCACAAUACUAGAUUUUUAUGUCUACAAAGAACUCAUAGUCAUUCCCAAAGUUAAUUCCAAGAACAAGAACAAGGCUCACAGAGAUUGAAUGGCUGGCCUAGCUCUGCAGAACGACUGCAGUUAGGUAAAAGAAAAUAAAAAGAACUCCCAAACCUUAUAUUUUACCUCCUGCCAACCUGAUUUUUUCCUCUGGCUAUAGCAGAUGAAGAAGGAAUGAGUUUCAGGUGAGGCUGACUUGAGUGGCUGACGUGAACAUCGGGAUGUAUCUCCACAGUUCCUACUCACACCAUGACAAAGAGUGAGCUGUAACACUCUCGGUGAGCUGUGGGUCAGGGAGGCAUCUGUCCCUUUUGAGGUUUAAUAAUCAUAAGGACAUAAGAUCAUCUGUAAAAGACAGCUAGCUGUGCAGCUCUGUCCUUUUUCUAGACAUGAGACCCAGAAAGUGCAUAGGAGAAGUACGUUGAAAGGAAAAGCCUGGUAUUGUUUUAUUUUUGUCUUUUUAAUUUAGUAUCUCAUCGACUCCCAAUGUGUGCUGUACACAUAUUUCUAGUUGUACACUAGAAUUACUUCUAGGUCAUUCACUACAGUGUGGGGUGACCCACCAGGAGCCACAUCCUAUAAAUCUGACCCUCCCUGACUGAGAAACCAUCAAUGACCCAUAGCUCCUUAGUUAGUGGUAGAAAGCCAUGAAGCUCCCACCUCAAGCUAAAAUGUUGACUGGUUUGAUCUUGGGCAGAUAACCAUGGCUGCUGUGUACCUUCCAGUACCAUGAAUGCUAGUCAACAGGGAAGAAGUUUCUAGGUGGGCACCACUUCUACCUCUCCAUGUUCAAGUACCUAAGUAAAUGUUUUCUUCAGCAAUAGAGCCCUACUGUCUGGUUAUAGAGAUUAACUACUAGCCUUCACAAUAGCCUGUGGUGUUUAUGGAGUUAGGAAUAUAUAAUUCAUAUAUAUAUAAUAUAUGAGUAUAUGCAUGAUAUAUUACAUAUGUAUGUAGUAUAUUAGGAAGCCUCUAUGAUAGUAGGUGUUUAUAUGGCUUUUCAAAGGGCCUUUCAUGUCAGUUGUCCUUCCCCAUAUUCCUUCCUUUAUACUGUACUCCAAUUCUCUCUACUUAAUCACUGUAUUCUAGUUUGCCAUUCAUCUCUUUAUAACACUAUACUCUAUCUCCCUUUCCUUGGUAGAUCCCCCGAUUCUACCUUGGUACUAGCUUAGCUUCUGUGGUUAUUCAAUCAAUUUAAAGAUAUUUAAAACUUAAAAGCAUAUAUGCAUAUGUAUCUAAAACAUCCACAAAUACAAAAUACACAUUUGUUUUUCCUAGGCCUGGGUUAUCUCACUCAGGUUUCAUUUCUCUUAACAGCUGGUUAAUGUUGUAUUGUGUAAAUGUACUAAAAAAUUGAACAUCCAGAAAACAAAUUACCCUCUUUAAAAAUUGACUACAGAACUCAGCAGAGAGUUCUCAGAAGAUGCAACAAAAAUGGUUGGGCUAAGAAGCACUUAAUAAAAUGUUCGAUAUCCUUAGCUAUACAGGACAUACAAAUAAAAACUGUUUUGAAAUUUCUUCUUACCCAGGUCAGAAUGGCCAAGAUUAAUAAGACAAACGACAGCUCAUAGCAGUAAGGAUGCAGGGAAAGGGUGGGGGGUAGGACAGCGGGGAGACCCAUCCAUUGCUAGGAGACGUGUAAACUUGUACAACUACCAUGGAAAUCAGUGUCACACUUCCUCAGGAAGCUGGGGAUAGAUCUACCCCAAGAUCUACUCAAAGGACUCUAUAUCCUACUACAAAGAUACUUACUCAUCCAGUUUUGUUUUUUCUUCUCUAUUCAUAAUAGCCAGAAAUUGGAGAGAGCCUAGACAUUAACUGAUGAAUAUGUUUGAAGUUUUUGAAUGAUUUAAAGAGAAAUAAAAUAAAAAAGUGAAAGUUCCAGACUCCUGAUGAGAGUUCUCAGACAUUGUAGUCUUGCUUACCAUACUAAUCAUUCCUGGCCAGUGGACUCUGAUCAAUUUGUAAAGUCUCUACGUUAAGAAAUAGCUGCUUGAUGAGCAUCCAAACACAAGGGGUGCCCGUCCCAGUAGUUAACACCUUGUGUCUUCACCAGCACCAAAGGCACAGCAAAUGAUGCCAGCCUUCAGGUUGUCUGUGCUACUGAAACCUGGCAGAUACAGUUAUUUGUUUCCAUUCUAAUGCUUGUUUUGAAUUCCACUGCAUGCCACCAUCUGCAGCUUUGCUUCUGGUACAUUAUUAUCAGGUCGAGCUGAGAUUUAUUUAGUUCUGAAGCUUCUUGGCCUUUUGUACAGUUCUUUAAAAAAGGAAACCUGCAUUUCCUUUCUGGACUUGCUUCUUAUCGAUUGAUGCAAGGGAGCCUCCUUCUUUGCUGAAUCAGCAAUGUCCUUGGUUGCUAGAUGGGCAGUUAGUUCUUGGGACUAGUGCCUUUCCUUUUUUUUUGUACAUGAUUCUACAUUUCUGUUGAUUGUUGUAUUGCAUAUGUAUAGAUCAUUUGUUUUAGGGUUGCUAUGCCAACUUUCUUUAGGAAAGACAUUUAUGAACUUAAAUUCCAACACAGUGGCCCCACACCCACACCCACAGGCUACAUUCCAGUGCCUCUUCCUCAUGCCUGAAACUAUGUGUAGUGCUAAACCCUAUGUAUGUAUGCUACCCUUUCUAGCAUCCCCAUGAUUCAAGUUAACUAAGAAAUUAAUACAGAGAGAAAUAAGCAAAGUAAUCAUAAACAGUUAUUAACAGUAUAUUGUAAGAAGGUACUGAAAACCUGAGUUUUUUCUGGUAUUUUCUAUUUAAUUACAUUUUACUGCUGUUGACCACUGGUAACUGAAAUCAAGGGAAGCUAAAACAGAUAAAGGGAGACUGCUGUGUUCUUUCUGAGAUCCAGUGUGUCACAGCUCCCAAGAGGAAAGUAAGUCAUAAACCUUUCUUUCACUGGAGUUUGGAGCUGCUACAAAUACCAUUUUUUUUCUCUCUCCUCCAGCAACAUAAGAGUUAGCCCUGAGGUUGAACUCUAUUUCCUUUUCUUUUAAGCGUUGGGCAUCAAACCAGAGCCUUGCGUGUGUCAGGCAGACACCAGCCACUGAGCUGUGUCCUCAACUUUGUACUUCAUUCUUUGAGUUUUAGAUACCCAGGGCGGAGCCACCCUGCUCUUCCUGUUUCCCCAGCUACCACUUGCUACUCUGAUGCCCUUGGCUGGCCCGUGCCUCUGUAUCCUAACAUGCCAACUGCUACUCUUUAUUCUGAGAUCUCUCUUUCUCUCUCCUCACUGACACUCUUAAAAAUCCAACAAGUCAGAGGGCCUAAUCUAAAAUGUUAGUCAAGAAAUAUUACAGUUUGUAACACCUUUGCAAACCGCUGUGCCAUUGGAAAUGGACACAUUUUCCCGGGUUUUGUACCUAUGGAAGGUGAGUUUGGAAAGCAGUGGUGCCAGGGAAUCCAACUUUUUGCAUUUAUCAAGCAAUGAUUAUUAUCCAUGCUGUGCUUCCUUCCCUAG